rnacentral:piRNA from 1 species
UAUCAGAGUUGACCCUGAGCCUUUGGU